rnacentral:rRNA from 1 species
UGAGGAAUCUGUCCAUCGGCGGGGGAUAGCCGGCCCAACGGCCGGGUAAUACCGCGUACGUCGGCGGGAGCGCAUGCUCCUGCCGGGAAGGCAGCAAUGCACCGAUGGAGGAUCUCACGGCCUAUCAGCUUGUUGGUGAGGUCACGGCUCACCAAGGCGACGACGGGUAGCUGGUCUGAGAGGAUGAUCAGCCACAUUGGGACUGAGACACGGCAGA